GCAGGGCUUCUGCAGAAGCUGAGAGGUGCUGGCUCAGAGCAGCCAGGGCUUAUCCAAGGAAGGCAUGUGGAAGCUCCCGGGACCACAAAUCGAACCGGCGCCACAGCAGUGAGCCGAGCCACUGCAGCGAUAAUGCCAGAUCCUUAACCCUCAGCACCACAAGGGAACUCCUCGACUGCUUCUUAACUUUUCAAGAUAAUUAUCAUUUGGGAUAAAGUUUCUUACUCUUGAAUCAGAGCCAAGGGACCUUAUUAUUUUUUUUUCAGUGUUUAAGGAAGAUUUUUCAAAUAUCUCUUGUAGGUUCCAACUUCAACUCAUUUUAAACAAAAUGUACGAGAAGCCACAAAAUAUUUGCAAUGCGUAUUUCAGUAAAAGAGAAUCCACUGAGUCCUGCGGGCCAGACAGCACAGCCCCGAGGAGACUGGGCUUGCAGAAAGCCUCCCUGUCAGAGAUCUGCCCUGAAAACCCUCCAGGCAGCCUCCACGCACCGCUCUGAAGAGUGACCCAUGCCUCGUCACCCACUGGCUUCAAGAUCGCCACUGACCCCCCCGCCUUUUCCUGCAAGGAGCACCGCAGCCCGCAGGGUCAGCUCCAUCCUCCAGAGUCCUCCGGAUGCAGCCCGGCCUGAGGUCCUUCCUGAACACCUGUCGUCAGGACAUCUGGCCCCGACGGGACCCUCCCUGCCCCUCUAGGCUCCAAGGCGCUGAGGAUCACGAGAGUUCCUGUCUGUCCAUGGGUGUCCCCCCUGCCACAGCGGCCACCCACCCACCUGCAAGCAGAAGCAGAGCAGAGGGUCGAGUCUGUGUCGCGUCAGCUUUAGAUUCCCGCCUCCCUGUCCUGGGCCGCCCGCCACACCUUCGUCCCCGCGGUUCCCGCCAGCUUGUUCCCAAACCGAAGACCUCGGGUUUCUCUCCCCAGACUGUCCCAGCGUCCCCUUCAGAGAGGAGGCUGGCAUCUGAAGUCCCCCGUCCCGGUUGGAAUUAGCCGCUUCGCCCCGGAAUCUAGCUUGCUCCGCUGGGUCUGUCACGAACAGGGACCUGGCCGAAAUGUGUCGUCAUGCAAGACAGUCCUUCCUGGAACUCAAUCUGAGUGGCUUUGUGCAAAAACAGGAGACGAGCAGACGACAUCUUUCCCAACCUUGAUAACCACGUCCAGACGGGGCUCAGUCACUCCUGACCCUCCCCCAAUUAAAUAACCUCAAUUCCUUUCUGCAAAAGAA